rnacentral:rRNA from 1 species
UGGGGAAUUUUGGACAAUGGGCGCAAGUCUGAUCCAGCCAUUCCGCGUGCAGGAUGAAGGCCCUCGGGUUGUAAACUGCUUUUGUACGGAACGAAACGCGCUGAGUUAAUACCUCGGCGUAAUGACGGUACCGUAAGAAUAAGCACCGGCUAACUACGUGCCAGCAGCCGCGGUAAUACGUAGGGUGCAAGCGUUAAUCGGAAUUACUGGGCGUAAAGCGUGCGCAGGCGGUGACGUAAGACAGGUGUGAAAUCCCCGGGCUUAACCUGGGAACUGCAUUUGUGACUGCAUCGCUGGAGUGCGGCAGAGGGGGAUGGAAUUCCGCGUGUAGCAGUGAAAUGCGUAGAUAUGCGGAGGAACACCGAUGGCGAAGGCAAUCCCCUGGGCCUGCACUGACGCUCAUGCACGAAAGCGUGGGGAGCAAACAGGAUUAGAUACCCUGGUAGUCCACGCCCUAAACGAUGUCAACUGGUUGUUGGGUCUUCACUGACUCAGUAACGAAGCUAACGCGUGAAGUUGACCGCCUGGGGAGUACGGCCGCAAGGUUGA